rnacentral:rRNA from 1 species
AGGUUGUCUUGUGCAUUACACAUGCAGUCGAACGAUGAACCGCAUUUCGGGCGGGGAUUAGUGGCGAACGGGUGAGUAACACGUGGGCAAUCUGCCCUGCACUCUGGGACAAGCCCUGGAAACGGGGUCUAAUACCGGAUAUGACUGUCCAUCGCAUGGUGGAUGGUGUAAAGCUCCGGCGGUGCAGGAUGAGCCCGCGGCCUAUCAGCUUGUUGGUGAGGUAGUGGCUCACCAAGGCGACGACGGGUAGCCGGCCUGAGAGGGCGACCGGCCACACUGGGACUGAGACACGGCCCAGACUCCUACGGGAGGCAGCAGUGGGGAAUAUUGCACAAUGGGCGAAAGCCUGAUGCAGCGACGCCGCGUGAGGGAUGACGGCCUUCGGGUUGUAAACCUCUUUCAGCAGGGAAGAAGCGAAAGUGACGGUACCUGCAGAAGAAGCGCCGGCUAACUACGUGCCAGCAGCCGCGGUAAUACGUAGGGCGCAAGCGUUGUCCGGAAUUAUUGGGCGUAAAGAGCUCGUAGGCGGCUUGUCACGUCGGUUGUGAAAGCCCGGGGCUUAACCCCGGGUCUGCAGUCGAUACGGGCAGGCUAGAGUUCGGUAGGGGAGAUCGGAAUUCCUGGUGUAGCGGUGAAAUGCGCAGAUAUCAGGAGGAACACCGGUGGCGAAGGCGGAUCUCUGGGCCGAUACUGACGCUGAGGAGCGAAAGCGUGGGGAGCGAACAGGAUUAGAUACCCUGGUAGUCCACGCCGUAAACGGUGGGCACUAGGUGUGGGCAACAUUCCACGUUGUCCGUGCCGCAGCUAACGCAUUAAGUGCCCCGCCUGGGGGAGUACGGCCGCAAGGCUAAACUCAAAGGAAUUGACGGGGGCCCGCACAAGCGGCGGAGCAUGGUGGCUUAAUUCGACGCAACGCGAGAACUUACAGGCUUGACAUACACGGAAACGUCUGGAGACAGCGCCCCUUGUGGUCGGUGUACAGUGGUGCAUGGCUGUCGUCAGCUCGUGUCGUGAGAUGUGGGUAGUCCCGCACGAGCGCACCAUGUCUGUGCAGCAGCUUGUGGUGGCUGGGACUCCGAACGCAGUCACUCGAGAGGUGGGGACGACGUCAGUCUCAUGCCUUAUGUUGGGCUGCACCGGCUCCAAUGGGCGGGUCACAUGAGGUCGAUAUCCGGAAGUGGAGCUAAUCAACGCUCUAGUCGAAUGGGUGACUGACUGAAUCGGGAGUCCAUUAUUCCGA